rnacentral:rRNA from 1 species
AUUGAACGCUGGCGGAAUGCUUUACACAUGCAAGUCGAACGGCAGCACGGACUUCGGUCUGGUGGCGAGUGGCGAACGGGUGAGUAAUGUAUCGGAACGUGCCCAGUCGUGGGGGAUAACGUAGUGAAAAUUACGCUAAUACCGCAUACGAUCUAUGGAUGAAAGCGGGGGAUCGCAAGACCUCGCGCGAUUGGAGCGGCCGAUAUCAGAUUAGGUAGUUGGUGGGGUAAAGGCCCACCAAGCCAACGAACUGUAGCUGGUCUGAGAGGACGACCAGCCACACUGGAACUGAGACACGGUCCAGACUCCUACGGGAGGCAGCAGUGGGGAAUGUUGGACAAUGGGCGAAAGCCUGAUCCAGCCAUUCCGCGUGCAGGAUGAAGGCCCUCAGGUUGUAAACUGCUUUUGUACAGAACGAAAAGGUUUCUACUAAUACUAGGAGCUCAUGACGGUACUGUAAGAAUAAGCACCGGCUAACUACGUGCCAGCAGCCGCAGUAA